rnacentral:lncRNA from 1 species
CUCCACCAAAGCCGCCACCAGCACCCCCACCAAUUCCUCCUCCACCACCAGCUCCGCCCCCAAAUCCACCCCCAGCGCCUACCCCGACACCUACACCAACCCCUCCACCAAAUCCACCUCCCUUUCCACCACCAAGAAGCUUCUCCUCAGUAUCAAUAGACCUCACAUUUCUAGCAACUGCCACACUCACUACAAGAACAUGAAAACAAAUUAGCAAUGACAAAACACCAACUCUCAUUCUACCACUUUUCAUCUCUUAGUUACUCACUUCAACUUCAAGAAAAUUUAAUUAAAUAAUUCCUUGAAUAUAAAGUGUGAACCAAUUACUUAAUUGGUAAUGAAUGAUUUUUGCAUUAACAGCUAGCGCGAGGGUUUAUAUAUAUACAAGUGUGAA